AUUUCUAAGUAAUUCAAUUGCAUAACAUCUAUGUUGCACCGAUACGCCACUUUUUGGGGGUAUGCGAGUAUCCGAUACGGCGCCGAUACGAUACGGCUCCGAUACGGCACCGAUACGUAUCCGAUACGCCACGUGGCGUAUCGUAGACUUUUCUUAAAAGUUGACUUUCCGAUACGUCCUCGAUACGUCCUCGAUACGGUCACGAUACGGUCAUGAUACGGCACCGAUACGUCUGGGGGUAAAAACGAAAGUAUUUGGAAACUUUGGGGUUGAUUUUGAAAGUUAUUUAGUAUUUGGGGUUAAAAUGUAAAAAUAAAACAUAGAAUUUCAGAUUGCUUAUGUCAAGAGAUAGGCUAGGUCUUGGACUUUCAUUCAGACAGACGCCAAGCCAACCAAACAGAAGGAGGAAGGAGGAAGGAGGAAGGAGGAAGAAGGAAAAAGGAAGGGAAGAAGUUCUCACCUCGUCGCACCCACCCAGCCUUCGCACCUAGCUGUAGCAACCAGCGCCGUUGCAGCAGCUUUAUCGUUCGCUACUCAGAUUCAUACGCAGCUCAAGAGAGACUCAUUGGCUACUGAUGAGAGGCUUAAUGCUCUAGAAGAAGAGGUACGGCUUCUGUGGGCUGCAUAAAAAAAGUACAACUUCGAUCUUCAUGUUUUCGAGUCUAAAGCACAAGAUGCCGAGGAUAGACUCGACACGGUUGCCUAUCAGGCUCAAAAGAUGGCUGACAUUGUUACAGAACAAUGGAUUCAAAUUCAGCGGCUUGAGCAGGCUCUUCAUAUUACACAAUUCAUAAACAACCUUUCUGAUGACCCUCUGCUGAAGAUGCUUGGGCCUAACUUCAGAUCCUAUUUCUCUCGAGAUUUUCAUAAGUUCAAGAGAGUCUUUGCAGAAUUUAAAAGGUCUCACCAUGAGUUACAACAUUUCAUCAAAGAGAAACUGGAAAAGAAUGAAUUCACAGCAGCUCUUGCAAAUGAGGAAUUAGUUUUCUUUAUGGUGUGUAGUCAAUUUUCUUUCUUUUUA